rnacentral:rRNA from 1 species
CGCGGGGUAACGUGAAGUAAGCUUGCUUACUUUGACGACGACCGGCGCACGGGUGAGUAACGCGUAUCCAACCUGCCCAUGACUACGGCACAGCCCGGCGAAAGUCGGAUUAAUGCGGUAUGUUGUGUGAAGAAGACAUCUGAUUUACACGAAAGGCUUCGGUCGGUUAUGGAUGGGGAUGCGUCCGAUUAGGUAGACGGCGGGGUAACGGCCCACCGUGCCGACGAUCGGUAGGGGUUCUGAGAGGAAGGUCCCCCACACUGGAACUGAGACACGGUCCAGACUCCUACGGGAGGCAGCAGUGAGGAAUAUUGGUCAAUGGCCGAGAGGCUGAACCAGCCAAGUAGCGUGAGGGACGAAUGCCCUAUGGGUUGUAAACCUCUUUAAUGCGGGGAUAAAGUGUGCCACGCGUGGCGUGUUGUAGGUACCGCAUGAAUAAGGACCGGCUAAUUCCGUGCCAGCAGCCGCGGUAAUACGGAAGGUCCGGGCGUUAUCCGGAUUUAUUGGGUUUAAAGGGAGCGCAGGCGGCCUGUUAAGUCAGCCGUCAAAUGGCUCAGCUCAACUGAGUCUGCGGUUGAAACUGGCGCCCUUGGGUGCACAAGAGGCAGGCGGAACUCGUGGUGUAGCGGUGAAAUGCAUAGAUAUCACGAAGAACUCCGAUUGCGAAGGCAGCUUGCUGGGGUGUUACCGACGCUCAUGCUCGAAGGCGCGGGUAUCAAACAGGAUUAGAUACCCUGGUAGUCCGCGCAGUAAACGAUGGAUGCCCGCGGUGCGGCCUUUUAUGGACUACGCCGCCAAGCGAAAGCGUUAAGCAUCCCACCUGGGGAGUACGCCGGCAACGGUGAAACUCAAAGGAAUUGACGGGGGCCCGCACAAGCGGAGGAACAUGUGGUUUAAUUCGAUGAUACGCGAGGAACCUUACCCGGGCUUGAAAGGUAGCGGAUGCUGCGGUCAGAGACGCCCUCUUUCUUCGGACCGCUUCCUAGGUGCUGCAUGGUUGUCGUCAGCUCGUGCCGUGAGGUGUCGGCUUAAGUGCCAUAACGAGCGCAACCCUUUCCGCCGGUUGCCAUCGGGUAAUGCCGGGCACUCCGUCGGUACUGCCGCCGCAAGGCGUGAGGAAGGUGGGGAUGACGUCAAAUCAGCACGGCCCUUACGUCCGGGGCCACACACGUGUUACAAUGGGGGGCACAGCGAGCUGGAUGCAGGCGACUGCAUUCGAAUCAAUAAAUCCCCUCCCAGUUCGGACUGGAGUCUGCAACCCGACUCCACGAAGCUGGAUUCGCUAGUAAUCGCGCAUCAGCCAUGGCGCGGUGAAUACGUUCCCGGGCCUUGUACACACCGCCCGUCAAGCCAUGAAAGCCGGGGGCG